ensembl:lncRNA
GUCUGCCAGAAAUGAAGGACUUCCUAAAAAACUUUCCCUUUAGGGAAUUCAGUGUCUUUAUCACCAUCGUCGGCAGUUUUACUUAUAAUGUUUUACUUGAAAGAGAUGUGGUCUGCACUUGCAUAGAUGUCGAUACAGACUGCUGGAUAUACCUUUUUAUGCCGGUGUUUAUAAUUUUUUUCUUAAUACUUUGGACAGACAAGAUAUUACAGAGAACCUGCAACUACUAUAUAUUUGUAUGUUCAGAAAAGCUAGCUUUUUUCCGAGCUCGGUGUCUACAAAAGCUAGCUUCUUUGCGAGCUAGGUGUCUAAAAAAGCUAGCUUUUUUGCGAGCUUGUUGUCUAAAAAAGCCUGAUAAACCUGAUGUGGAGCAUCAACCACUUGAUGAGCAGCAAGAUCAACAAAAGAAUUCAAACUGCAGGGGAGCAUUAUGUGGUGUUUUCUGGAGUCGCAUUAUCAAGGCACUUUGUAUUGGUGUGCUGUGGGCUAUUUCUGUGCUCAUCGAUGGAGACUGGUAUGUUUGCUGUCAGAAUGAUCAUUCUGAAAAGCAAUCACAGUUAGCCUGCAAAGAUAAAACCAACAUGACACCUGAAGAAAAUGUGGACAUCAAUACCCUGAAAAACAAAUCAAGAAUGCUGUAGGAGAGAGAAAUACAUAGUGGAAGAGACAUAAACUUUUUGGCUUCUCUGUGCUCUUGGCUAUGAUUUUUCUGGCAGCCCUGAUGUCACUAUUUGACCGGAGAUGCUAUUACAGCAAAAGACAAGUCUAUGACAGCGUGAUCCUGGAAGAAGGGGAAGAUGUACUGAAAGACACUUUGAGAAAAGCAGCGAAAGAUGAGUUACUUAAAAUGAUCUCUGAAAAAAUAAAUGGAAAUGACAAUAGGAAUGGAGGUGGAAAUGAGAACAAAGGAGGAAAUGGAAAUGGAGGAGGAAAUGGAAACAGACAUAGGAAUGGAGGUGAGAAUGGGAAUGGGGGACAAGAAGGAAAUCAAGGGGGUGGACAAGAAAAUGGGAAUGGAGUAGGAAACGUAGGUGGAAAUGAGAACGGAGGAGGAAAUGGAAAUGGAGGAGGAAAUGGAAACAGACAUAGGAAUGGAGGUGAGAAUGGGAAUGGGGGA